rnacentral:rRNA from 1 species
AUUGAACGCUGGCGGCAUGCCUUACACAUGCAAGUCGAACGGCAGCACGGGGGCAACCCUGGUGGCGAGUGGCGAACGGGUGAGUAACAUAUCGGAACAUACCCUAGAGUGGGGGAUAACGUAGCGAAAGUUACGCUAAUACCGCAUACGAUCUAAGGAUGAAAGUGGGGGAUCUUCGGACCUCAUGCUCAUGGAGUGGCCGAUAUCUGAUUAGCUAGUUGGUGAGGUAAAGGCUCACCAAGGCGACGAUCAGUAGCUGGUUUGAGAGAACGACCAGCCACACUGGAACUGAGACACGGUCCAGACUCCUACGGGAGGCAGCAGUGGGGAAUAUUGGACAACGGGCGAAAGCCUGAUCCAGCAAUGCCGCGUGAGUGAUGAAGGCCUUAGGGUUGUAAAGCUCUUUUACCCGAGAUGAUAAUGACAGUAUCGGGAGAAUAAGCUCCGGCUAACUCCGUGCCAGCAGCCGCGGUAAU